UGGGGAAUAUUGGACAAUGGGCGAAAGCCUGAUCCAGCCAUGCCGCGUGUGUGAAGAAGGUCUUCGGAUUGUAAAGCACUUUAAGUUGGGAGGAAGGGCAGUAAGCGAAUACCUUGCUGUUUUGACGGUACCGACAGAAUAAGCACCGGCUAACUCUGUGCCAGCAGCCGCGGUAAUACAGAGGGUGCAAGCGUUAAUCGGAAUUACUGGGCGUAAAGCGCGCGUAGGUGGUUCGUUAAGUUGAAUGUGAAAGCCCCGGGCUCAACCUGGGAACUGCAUCCAAAACUGGCGAGCUAGAGUAGGGCAGAGGGUGGUGGAAUUUCCUGUGUAGCGGUGAAAUGCGUAGAUAUAGGAAGGAACACCAGUGGCGAAGGCGACCACCUGGGCUCAUACUGACACUGAGGUGCGAAAGCGUGGGGAGCAAACAGG
rnacentral:rRNA from 1 species